rnacentral:rRNA from 1 species
UACGUAGGGUGCGAGCGUUAAUCGGAAUUACUGGGCGUAAAGCGGGCGCAGACGGUUACUUAAGCAGGAUGUGAAAUCCCCGGGCUCAACCCGGGAACUGCGUUCUGAACUGGGUGACUAGAGUGUGUCAGAGGGAGGUAGAAUUCCACGUGUAGCAGUGAAAUGCGUAGAGAUGUGGAGGAAUACCGAUGGCGAAGGCAGCCUCCUGGGAUAACACUGACGUUCAUGCCCGAAAGCGUGGGUAGCAAACAGG